rnacentral:rRNA from 1 species
ACGCUGGCGGCGUGCCUAAUACAUGCAAGUAGAACGCUGAAGGAGGAGCUUGCUUCUCUGGAUGAGUUGCGAACGGGUGAGUAACGCGUAGGUAACCUGCCUGGUAGCGGGGGAUAACUAUUGGAAACGAUAGCUAAUACCGCAUAACAGUAGAUGUUGCAUGACAUUUGCUUAAAAGGUGCAAUUGCAUCACUACCAGAUGGACCUGCGUUGUAUUAGCUAGUUGGUGGGGUAACGGCUCACCAAGGCGACGAUACACAGCCGACCUGAGAGGGUGAUCGGCCACACUGGGACUGAGACACGGCCCAGACUCCUACGGGAGGCAGCAGUAGGGAAUCUUCGGCAAUGGACGGAAGUCUGACCGAGCAACGCCGCGUGAGUGAAGAAGGUUUUCGGAUCGUAAAGCUCUGUUGUAAGAGAAGAACAGGUGUGAGAGUGGAAAGUUCACACUGUGACGGUAUCUUACCAGAAAGGGACGGCUAACUACGUGCCAGCAGCCGCGGUAAUACGUAGGUCCCGAGCGUUGUCCGGAUUUAUUGGGCGUAAAGCGAGCGCAGGCGGUUAGAUAAGUCUGAAGUUAAAGGCUGUGGCUUAACCAUAGUACGCUUUGGAAACUGUUUAACUUGAGUGCAAGAGGGGAGAGUGGAAUUCCAUGUGUAGCGGUGAAAUGCGUAGAUAUAUGGAGGAACACCGGUGGCGAAAGCGGCUCUCUGGCUUGUAACUGACGCUGAGGCUCGAAAGCGUGGGGAGCAAACAGGAUUAGAUACCCCUGGUAGUCCACGCCGUAAACGAUGAGUGCUAGGUGUUAGACCCUUUCCGGGGUUUAGUGCCGCAGCUAACGCAUUAAGCACUCCGCCUGGGGAGUACGACCGCAAGGUUGAAACUCAAAGGAAUUGACG